CGAUGAUGGUCCCCUAUGAAGCAGGCGCUCAGGAGAAAUGGGAGAUUGGACUAACAGUGGAAGAAAUUGUAUAUGCAAGUGAUGCCUUCUUACAGCUUACUGGAUAUGACAGACACCAAGUUUUGGGGCGAAACCUGAGAUUUUAAUGUGGGGAAUAUACAGAUUUUGCUUUUACAAACCAGAUAAAGGAAAGCAUUGAAGCAGCUAGACCAUGUACACUUCGAAUCCUAAACUACAGGUUAGGUUAGGCGCUGAAAGAGGCUUUUGAGAUCUUCUGCAACAAGGCUGUUGGUGGAAGCUUGAGCGCUGAACUUCUGGCCUCGUUUUGUGAUAAUAUUUUGAAGAAAGGUGGGAGUGAAAAAUUGAGCGAUGAAGCUAUAGAAGAGACACUUGAGAAGGUGAUCAAAUUGCUUGCUUACAUUAGAUGACAUAAGCACCUGUUUUCUGAAUUCUACAG